rnacentral:lncRNA from 1 species
CAUCACACUGAGUUGAAUCUAGGUUAUGAGUUAACUACAGUGACUAAAGACUAUAAAAUCAGCAUCAUAGAAUACAUAGUCACACAAACAAAUCAUGUAUUUGUCGACACACACGUAUCGCUAAUGAUGUUUAAAAACAAUUACAUUAAAUAGUGAAUACAUGUGAAAUAUCAGCGUGUCAUAUGAUUGCUUCUAGGGUAUAUCUCUAACACCUCGGCCACACGGCGAGGCGGAACGACGUCCCAGCCUCACCCUGCCCCAAUUGAGCUGUUGAUGGGGUACAUUGCGCGGUGGGCUUGUCGGAUGGCGGAGGACGGUUUACGGUGGUUGGCGUGGAUGAAGAGGGGAACAUGAGAAGAUGGACCCGUAAAUCGUCCCCUGUGCAUCGUGUCAAUGACCACGUCAGGGUGGUUGGGCCACAUGGUAAGGCUCUAUUUGGUAGGCUUAAACGUGACUUCCGACUUUUGGCUUAUAAGUUACAAAUACAUCUAUAGAUACAUGAUUUGUUCGUGUGACUAUGUAUUCUAAUUAAGAAUAUCAAAUCAAAAGCCAAGCUGAUAGCACAUUUAAGCCAAAAAACUAAAAACCACAUUUAAGCAAAAAACCCCAAAAUCACAUUUAAGCAUAACCAAACAGAGCCCAAGUUAUUUCAUCACUGGUGUGGUGCAGUAACGACGACAGCGAAGGAAAGCUAUUGCACGACAAUUGAACCGUAUAAAAUUUUUGUCAGACCGUUGUUACCAGCCAUGUGCAUGCUCGCGUUGUUAAGCUUACAGUCAACGAAACUAGAUCUGACUUGCUAGCAUGAGUACAAAAUUCGCAUGGAGAACUCCGGCUCUACCGAAGUACCGAUGCUAAAUUAUUAGCGUGUUCAACGUAUGUGCUACUAGUUGCAAAUAUUCUUAUUAGAUCCUAGCGAGUAGCGACGAUCAAUCAAUCAAUCAACGAACCUACAAGCUGUCAGUAGGGUGACACUAGCUUCUGGUAGCGGUAAUACGCUACCGUGAUACUCCAGCAGUACGUCAGCUUAUCCUACUCUACUGACGCCGGUUAAUUAAUUUACCUGCAGCUUUGCAGAAUCAAAAGGAAUCAAUCCUCCCGCAAAAAAAAAAAAUUCAAUCCUGUGAAGAAGAGGACGUGCGAACGUUGGGUCUCAGGUAGUCGCAUAUGCCGUCCAAUGCCAUGCAUGCACAUGGGCAAUCACGUGGUCGUGGAUAAUUGUGGACACCGCCCGCUCACGUGCGCUGCGAGCUUCGGUCUGCUUCACGAGUCUAGCCGAUCUCCAGCCGUCCUCCGUGAAAGCCCUCU